UAAAUUGAUACGUAUUCAGGUGGCUGAUUGCCAAAAGGGGAACCUCGUGUGAAUCGGGGACGGCCACGCCGCUGUAAUCGGGGACGAAACUUGUCAGAACCACUACCCGGAGCCCUGAGCCUGUCGAAGGGGCAAAGGGUGGGAAGGGGCAAGGAGGGCUUGAAGUGCUGUCAGACUUCAGGUCCUAGUAGGAUGAUCCGAAAGUCAGAACACCCGCCUCAAUACGCUUCACAAA
rnacentral:ncRNA from 2 species